rnacentral:rRNA from 9 species
CCUUGAGAGUCCUGAAGGAACGUUGAAGACGACGACGUUGAUAGGCCGGGUGUGUAAGCGCAGCGAUGCGUUGAGCUAACCGGUACUAAUGAACCGUGAGGCUUAACCUUACAACGCCGAAG